GCAAACUUGGUCAUUUAGAGGAAGUAAAAGUCGUAACAAGGUCUCCGUUGGUGAACCAGCGGAGGGAUCAUUAUUGAGUGUAAAAACUCCCAACCCUUUGUGAACUUACUCUGUUGCCUCGGCGGGAAACUCUCAGAGGAUCUCGGCUGUGGUAGUGACCCUACCCUACAGCUCCCCUGCAGCGGCUACCGUCAGAGGACACCUAAACUCUUUGAAAUUUUUGGCAUGUCUGAUUUGGUACUGAAUAAGUUAAAACUUUCAACAACGGAUCUCUUGGUUCUGGCAUCGAUGAAGAACGCAGC
rnacentral:misc_RNA from 1 species